GCAGGACACAUCCAUGGCAGAGCACAGUGCCAGAAGUAUUCAUCUCCCACAAGCUCCUUGUGGCCGAUCCACCACCUGUGGGUUCUGCAACACAGCUGUACUUAUUCUUGUACUAUCAAUGGGAAUAUGGCACAGAGGCAUGGAAAGGCAGUUGUGCUUAAAGGGAUGGACUGGAAGCUGGGACUUCACAUGGCAGUUACAGUUGGGAGAAGCAGAGAGUAACUGAAAUUAAACGUGGAGGGGCUUUACCAAGGAAAUCAUCAGCCUGCUGUUAGACAGAGGUGGGCUAGGAGAUGUCAGCCCAGAGUUACAGUUGCAUCUUGCUCCGGCUGCCAAAGACAGGAGCAGUUAGGGCAGUUGGGGAUGGGUGCAAAGAUGCCCCAGGUUGCCACCGGCGACACCGUUAUGAAGUCACUCCAGGGUUCCGGCCGUGGCAACGAGCCCACCAAGAGCAACAAACGCCUCUGCGCAGUGCUCUGCUCUUGCCAGGCUCUGCAAGGGGACACAGCUGACCAACAGACCGCUUUGCUGCUGCUGAGAGUGGCAGACAGCCUACAGGGCAGAAGAAGACGAGGCAUCUGGGAACAGAGGCUUUUGGGAAAGCCAUCCGUUAGGCGAUGUUUUCCUGGAGGGCAGAAGACUUCUCAGCCCAGCCAAGGGCACAGAGAGCCAUCCCCCAGCCUGUGCCAGCCUUCCAGCUGCAAGAGACUGCUCAUGGCACUGAUGGCACCGCUCCGACCUUGGGCACGGCACAGGACGACAUCUGUGAGCUGUGCAGACGCUUCAUGCUGCUGAGCAUUGGAGCCAAGCAGAUGCACAUCAAUGAUGGCCCCAAAACCACCUCUUUUGCCAGCCAUAAAGUGCUCAAAGCCAAACCAUCGGAACUGGUGAGCCAAAGUGUGACCUCCGUUAGUCCCAUAUGUGACCCAUUCCAACAUGGGAGCCCUGAGCUGCGUGCCCAUCAGAGCCAGCUCAGCCAGGUGCAGUGGGCAAUGCAGAGUACUGUGAUGCCGAUCUUGGAGCCACCAGCAGCUACCAACAAAGCAGCAGCAAAUGGGCCAGCAGACCCAGUCAGCCCGCAUCCAUGUCCAGCUCAGCCCAGGAAGCGCAGGCAAUGUGCUGGGAGAGAGCACAACCGUGGCAGCCAGGCUGAGGACUCUGUGGACCAAUUCCAGGAGGAGUUUAGACCCAAGGCCAAGAAGAGCUGCAAAGCCUUGCCCAACUUCCCUGUGUCUCUGCUCCCAGAAGGCCUUCCAUCCAGCACUGCAAAUGGCAGCAAGCAGGCUCAGCCCAGCUGCGCUCCUGCCCCGGGUUUGGCUGCCAAACUGCAGAAGAGCACAGAGAGCUGCAAGACUGAUGGGCUGAGCAAUGGCAAAGAGGGGAUGAUCCAACCUGCCCCCCUUCUGCAGAAAUGUGCUGAGAGAGAGAAACCAUCUGGGAAACGACAAAGCA
ensembl:lncRNA